rnacentral:pre_miRNA from 1 species
CUAGUACUCCCUCCGUCCGAAAAUACUUGUCGUAGGAAUGGAUGUAUCUAGAUGUAUUUUAGUUCUAGAUACAUCCAUUUAUAUCAUUUUUGUGACAAGUAAUUCCGGACGGAGGGAGUAGUUA